CUGUAUCUAUCUGUCUAUCUCCACCGCCUCCUCCUCCUCCUCCUCCUCUUCUUCUCUCACAUAAGAACCUAAGGAGUCUGCAAGAGGCCGGCAGGUCUAUACAAGGCAGCUCCCGUGAACCUAACCCCACCUAACUUCUCCAUCCAUGAACUCGCCUAACGAUUUCAUAAGUUCGAUAGAUACAUUCAAGGAAAAGGUUACAUUCGAACUUCUUCUUGAAUCUAUCUUAUUGGCACUCACAACAAGCCUGGACCAGUCAUCCCCUACCACCAGAACUGCACUGCAUACUCCAGAAGAGGUCUAACUAAUAACGGUUAAUUCAAGAAUGUUAGAUUUUGACUUCUUCUUUAAUGAAUCCAUCUUAUUGGCACUCACAAGCCUGAUCCAGUCAUCCCGUACCACCAGAACUGCACUGCAUACUCCAGAAGAGGUCUAACUAAUAACGGUUAAUUCAAGAAGGUUAGAUUUUGACUUCUUCUUUAAUGUAUCCAUCUUAUUGGCACUCACAAGCCUGGUCCAGUCAUCCCGUACCACCAGAACUGCACUGCAUAAUCGAGAUGAGGUCUGGCUAAUGCAAAAUACAGCUUGGGGAUGUCUUCGGCGCUCCUGUUGUUUACGCUCCUUGAAAUGAAUCCCAGUACCCUGUUUGCUCCAUUUCUAGCUUGAAUGCAUUGUGCCCUUGGACGGGGAUCGGAGCUCACUAAGACUCCUAGAUCCCUCUCGCACCCAGACCUGCUUAUGGGCGUAUCAUCUAAGCAAUAGUUAUGUGAGGGGUUGUUCCUACCUACACUCAGAAUACUGCACUUCCCGACAUUGAACUGCAUCUGCCAUUUCCCCGCCCAGUCCUACAAUCUGUCUAAGCCACCCUUCUCUUCCCUUUCCAUUCCUUUCUUUUCCUUUCCCUUCCCUUCCCUUCUCCACAAGUUUAUACUCAAUUACUCUGCCGAUCUUGGUAUCAUCUGCAAACUUACUGACAUCAUUAAUAGUGCCUAGGGGUGUUAUCUAAGCAAUAGUUAUGUGAGGGGUUGUUCCGACCUACAC